AGGGAUACAUACCGAUUCCGAGCACCGGCCGCGCCCGCCUGGCGGCUGCUCGCCACGUUUUGUUAGCC
rnacentral:sRNA from 1 species